GGGUUGGGCUGCCUGGCGCUGCGGGCUGGGCGGAGGAGAGCCGCGGGCGGCUGCCGUCGGGGGGGCGCGGCUCGGCGCGGCUUGGCUCGGAUUAGAAUGGCUCGGAUCGGUUUAGCACGGCUUGGCUCGGUUCUGCUUGGCACGGCUCGACUUAGCUCGGUUCGGCUCGGUUCUGCUUGGCCCGGCCCGGCUCGGCUCGGCUCAUCUCAGCUCGUUUCGGCUUGGCACGGCUUGACUUGACACAGAUUGGUUCAGUUCGACUCGGCUCGGCUUUGCACAGCUCAGCUCAUCUCAGCUCGGACUCGAUCACAUCAUCCCUUGUGGGUGCCCAUACCCUUCCCAGCUUUGUGGGGAGCCAUGAGGUCCAGCCGCCGGGAUGCCAACAUUCCCAGGAGAGGUGAUGCUGAGGGAUGGAGAGGUCGUUGCUUUUAUUAGCCUGGCUUGCAAAAGCAGCGCUCCCGGCUUUGUUUUCUCUUCAUUGUACCUGCCAGGCUAAUAAAAGGCAUUACCUCUGCUGCAAAGCUGACAUUCCAGGGGGCUGGGGGUGGGGAUUGCAAUCCCAAAUCCAUGAGGGAUGGCGUUGGGAUGGGCAUGGGACUUUUGGAUGCUGGAGUGAUGCUGUGUUUGGAGCCAGGAGUAGCAGCGUGGUCAGCAGCAGGAUUUAAGUGCUGGAUCCCCUUUGGGUGCCUAAAUACCCCUAAAUACCAGACCUGAGCUGUGGGUCACAUUAAAUAAACUCCAUCCUGGGCAUA